CAGCUUUCUCAUUUGAAGUACUGCAUACUGCAACUUUCACCCCUUUUCCCAGAGCUUCAUCAAUUAACCUGUAAAAGUUAAGAAGAUAAUGAAUUUAUAAUUUUCCCUCUCAAAAAGUUACUCCACCAUUUUGAAUUUAGUUGAUUUACCAUUCUAUUGUUGGAUUAAAUCAACAGAUCUUUCUAUGCAUGUAAUGUAGAUUUCUUCAACGAAAAAUGAAAUGUUAGUUAUGUAAAACUUGUUUAACUCAUUUCUUUAACCUUUCCAGAUUACAUAUUGGAAAUGUAAUUACAAUGAAUAAUACAUAUGGUUUGUUAGGAAUAAGCAACUUAUCUGUAUUGAAGGCCCAAGGGGCAUAUAUAUAUUACACAUGACUUGAGGUCAAGGAAAGUAAACAUAGACUAAUAAGGACUCCUAGACUAAUACUAAUACUUCCUAACCCCCCCCCCCCCUCAAAUGCAAAGGGUAUGCAAUAGCAUUGCAUUUGAAGAAGUGUAAUACUAAAAAAAAUGAUAAUCCAAAUCCGCGUCUUGAGAGUGUCGUCGUAGCAGGAAGAGUCUUCAGAACUUGUCAGGUCGCCGAAGGGGAUAACGAAGAGAUGGCACAUCAGAGGUAGACACCGCAUCACAUGAAGAUACAAGAUAAGUAUCAAGAGAAGAUGGGUUGUCAAAAGAAGAUGGCACAUCAAGAGAAGAAGGCAUUGCGCAGAAAAUCAUAGUCCACGACAACCGUCGGCGAAAGAAGCUCGGCGAAUAAGGCACGAUGGACGUAGAUCGACAAUGCAAAAGAAGACCAGAAAAUCCUAUAGAAAACAACAAGGGCAGGUAGGCCACAAAAGUUGCAUAGAAAGGAUCAGGACCGGAGAAAGGCUGACAGACUAAGGUAUGGUGGACUCGCAUGGCAUGAGAAAACACAAAAUAUCAACGGAUUUGGUGGACGCAGCGGAAAACAAAGAAAACUAGAAAACACACACUAGAUUAGGGAUGAUGGCAGCGGAAGAGAAAAAUAAUAUCAUGGCGGCGAAGGCCAAUUCCAACCAGAGUGUGCAUGAGACGGUCCUAACUGUGUAGAAGGUGGUUGCUCAGUGCGGGAAGCCUGAGUCACAAUACCAGCAGUACCCGUCGAGGAAGAACCUGAAGCAGCAAGCAGACGCUUAAGUCUCAGAAUAUCCUGCUCAGUCAAAGCGAUGGCUGAAGUUGUCGAGGUAGAUGACGAAGUCUCUGUAGAUGAUGAUUGCGCCUGGCGCAAGUGUUUCUUCUUCGUGUAGCAGUGAGACUCAAUAUGACCAUCAUUGUUGCAGUAGCCACAAUGUAGACAGGGGCGACCUGAGCCUCCAGAAGGAGUGAGCAAGAGCGGCGGAGCACUCGAGUGAGAAGGGGUCGGUGCAGCAGGUGGCGUAGAAGUAGCCCGAGCAGCGAGCACCGAGGGAACCUCCAGGAAACCAGCACCACGUAAGCGAGUCUCCUCAGCACGAAUCUCAGAAAGCGCCUCCAUGAGAGAAAUACGGCCACGAGCAAACAACUGAGCACGCCGGGGCUCAAACUCCUUACGGAGCCGAGACAGGAACUCGUAGACGCGAUGAAACUCCAAGUUGGCCUGGACAGCCUGGCAACAGGGGCAAGUACGACAACCAGCAGUGCGGAGAGAAUCGAGCUGGCGCCAGAUAGCAGAACUCUGUGCAUAGAAGUCAUCAACAGUAGAGUCACCAUGCUGAAGAGCAUGCUCCUGACGAACCACGGAGAGGUAUAAGGCAUCACCAGAGGGCGCAUAGCGCUGACGAAGGCGAGUCCACAUCUCAAAGGCAGUAGGAAGGCCCAAAAACUCAGAGGCAAACUGAGGCCGAACACUAGCAGUGAGAACAGUUGCAACACGAGCAUCAUCAUCAAGCCACUGGGUGUAAGAGGACAGAGCACCGUGAUAUACCUGAAGAGCCUCCUCAUAAGCCAAGACCUUCUCAUCAUAAGCACUCACAGCGGCCUCAUUAGCAAGCUUAGCCGCAUCCUUUGUGGCCUGAGGAGCAUCCGCGGGAAGAGCCGGUGGGGUCGACGGAGUAGGAGCCAUGGGAGGAACCGGACAUGGCGGACAACAGACCUCGCUAGAAAGAAAACCACAUAGACGGAUGCCACGCAUGUGAAUGCGCAUGAAGCCAAUGAACUCGGUGUAGUUAGUGCCAUCAAAGAUCACCGAACAACGAGGAACAGCAACGUAGCCGAAUGCAGCAGACAUUUUUUUUGGUCAACGACGAGGGGAACACCCGAUCCGAUCGGGAGUGUGCAGAGGGCGGCGCGACCUGGAGAGCACGGCCGGGAGCAGAGCCUCGAUCCAAGCGGUCUGGAGAUGGACCGAGAUCAGGAAAACAGGCGGAUCCGGUCAGUGCGCGUCUGGAAGCAGAGCCGCGUCUGGGAGCAGAGCCACUUCUGGCGGAUCCGGCGACGCAAGACUCGAUGGUGGAGGACGCACUGGGCCGGGACGAGCUCACUCAGCCGAUCCGAUCCGACGAGAUCUGGCGUUCGCUGGAGGCUGCGAGUGGAGCCUGUGGGAGCAGACGAGGAGGAGGCGCGUUCCUGGAGGAGCACCGGCGGGAGAAAUCCUGGCACCCGAGGAGGAGGCGUGUUCCUAGAGGAGCGCCGGCGGGAGAAAUCCUGAGACCUGGCUCCAGGGGAGAAGGGGGAACGCCGGCAGGAGGGAUCGGCGGAUGAGCAGCAGCAGGAUGAGAACAAGAGCUGCAGCAGGAGGAGAUCGGGAGCAGCAGCUAGACGAACAACGGCUGCGUGGAGAAGGAUCGGAGCACGAGUUGCGCGUGCGAAAAAUUGACCUAAGGCUCUAAUACCAUGUUAGGAAUAAGCAACUUAUCUGUAUUGAAGGCCCAAGGGGCAUAUAUAUAUUACACAUGACUUGAGGUGCAAGGAAAGUAAACAUAUACUAAUAAGGACUCCUAGACUAAUACUAAUAGACUAAUAAGGACUCCUAGACUAAUACUAAUACUUCCUAACAUGGUUAAUGCAUUUUGUUCCCAGUAUAGAACAGAUUGGCUAUGCCAGAACUACUAUAUAUUCAUACAGUGGUAAAUUACACUACCUAUUGUGUUGUUUACACGCAGCAUAAAUGAUUUUACUGUGACUAUUUCGAUUUUGUUAUAAGGAAGUACUUCAAACUAGUGUCGUUGCAGCAGCCGAGGACGUUUCUGAUUCACAAGUCCAUUUAAACUGCAUUUAAGUUACUGAAGUCAUCAAAUUGUUUGAAAACAUGACCUUUGAACACCUGGGCGGAGAGGAAGCAACUUCUUCUCAAUUAGGACCAUAAACAAUUCUGUUUUCCGCUUGUGAAGAGAAGCAACAAAUUCCUUUCUUU
rnacentral:lncRNA from 1 species